UCACCUCAGUUUCCUCUGUCCUCUCUUGUCUCUCCUCUCCUCUCCUCUCAAGCUCUCAGCCUCUCACCACAGCUCUCAGUUUAUCAUUCUCGCAUUCCAUCUCUCCUCUGUGGCUCUGUUAGUCUGUCCUCUCUCCUCUCCUCUCAAUCUCUCAGUCUCAGUCUCUUACUGUAGCUCUCAGUCUCUCGCUCUCGCAGAGUCGUAGAUUGCAGUCCUGACUCAUAGCCGUAGGUCGCAGGCCGUAACCUCUCACAAACUUCUAACGCACACUCACAGUCAGUCGGUCACUACGGACGUCGGAGGCGAGACAAAGACGAGGAUCAGAACUAAGAACUUGUUCAAAUCGUUAAAGAGGGACAGAUCUAGGUUCUUGAUCAACCGGCUUAGAUAAGACAGAGCAUAAUGUUCUUGAAUCUGGAGCAAACCAUGAGYUCUUUUUAUGUGUUUAAAAAAGAACUAUGUUUCAGAAAGCUCGAUUUCGAAUUCAAAUUUGAGCUCGAAUUCGAAUUCAAAUUUGAGCUCGAAUAAGCUUGGUUCAUUAUCGAGCUUGAACACAACCAUUCUGUAAUUGAGCCGAACUCAACCUUUUAUUUCUAAUUAGAAUAAGCUCGAACCCGAGAUUAAGCA